UGCAUCAAGGAGCUUACCAACUAAUUCAUGGCCUCCUUGACUUGUGGUCAUGCUUCUUUUGAGAAGGCGCCUCUGAUUUCUUCCAUUCCAUAUGCUGUUGGCAGGAGGACUAUGACGACAUUGUGAAUGGCUGGAACGCGAAGCUGAAACGGAGCUCUGCCGGCGAGCAGAGGUGGGGGUUGUUCAUUGCCACCAAGUGAUUUGGCCUGGCAGCAGGAGGGCUCUUCGGAAUAAGAAUGGAUGUGGCUCUAACUCUGCUUCUAGACCGGUGAUGGUUCAGCUUAGAAGCAGGGGAUCUUCAUCAUCAGAAUAAAAACGUGUGUUGUUGUGUUGCUGUGUCUACGCCACUAGUAUUUCUGUUGUUACUUAUGUUCUAGGUAAACUGCGCAGCCAGAGCAGAGCUGAAGAAUAUGUACUGCUUGCUCGCUCUUGUGUGGUUGUGUCUACCCCUACUAGCAUUUCAGCUUUGUUGUAGGUAAACUGCGAACCCAGAGUUGCAGAACCCGUACUGCUCGUUUAAGUUCAUGGUGAACUACGAGCUAAAAGGCUGUUGCCAGAGUCGAUGUCACUUGUCACUGGAGGUCCCCGGUUCAAUUCAGAUGUUGCUUUGGCACGUGCUAUUCUUUUGGA
rnacentral:lncRNA from 1 species